AGAGUUUGAUCCUGGCUCAGAUUGAACGCUGGCGGUAUGCUUAACACAUGCAAGUCGAACGGUAACAGGCAAAAGCUUGCUUUUGCGCUGACGAGUGGCGGACGGGUGAGUAACGCGUAGGAAUCUGCCUAGUAGUGGGGGACAACCUGGUGAAAACCAGGCUAAUACCGCAUACGCCCUACGGGGGAAAGCGGGGGAUCUUCGGACCUCGCGCUAUUAGAUGAGCCUGCGUUAGAUUAGCUAGUUGGUGGGGUAAAGGCCUACCAAGGCGACGAUCUAUAGCUGGUCUGAGAGGACGAUCAGCCACACUGGGACUGAGACACGGCCCAGACUCCUACGGGAGGCAGCAGUGGGGAAUAUUGGACAAUGGGCNCAAGCCUGAUCCAGCAAUACCGCGUGUGUGAAGAAGGCCCGAGGGUUGUAAAGCACUUUCAAUUGGGAGGAAAAGUUUAGUGUUAAUAGCACUGAACCUGGACGUUACCUUAGAAGAAGCACCGGCANUNUG
rnacentral:rRNA from 1 species